GACGAACGCUGGCGGCGUGCUUAACACAUGCAAGUCGAACGGAAAGGCCCUGCUUGCAGGGUACUCGAGUGGCGAACGGGUGAGUAACACGUGGGUGAUCUGCCCUGCACUUCGGGAUAAGCCUGGGAAACUGGGUCUAAUACCGGAUAGGAGCCAUUUUUAGUGUGAUGGUUGGAGAGUUUUUUUCGGUGUAGGAUGAGCUCGCGGCCUAUCAGCUUGUUGGUGGGGUAAUGGCCUACCAAGGCGGCGACGGGUAGCCGGCCUGAGAGGGUGGACGGCCACAUUGGGACUGAGAUACGGCCCAGACUCCUACGGGAGGCAGCAGUGGGGAAUAUUGCACAAUGGGCGCAAGCCUGAUGCAGCGACGCCGCGUGGGGGAUGACGGCCUUCGGGUUGUAAACUCCUUUCGCUAGGGACGAAGCUUUUUGUGACGGUACCUAGAUAAGAAGCACCGGCUAACUACGUG
rnacentral:rRNA from 1 species